CUACGUAGGGGGCGAGCGUUGUCCGGAUUUAUUGGGCGUAAAGCGAGCGCAGGCGGUUUCUUAAGUCUGAUGUGAAAGCCCCCGGCUCAACCGGGGAGGGUCAUUGGAAACUGGGAGACUUGAGUGCAGAAGAGGAGAGUGGAAUUCCAUGUGUAGCGGUGAAAUGCGUAGAUAUAUGGAGGAACACCAGUGGCGAAGGCGACUCUCUGGUCUGUAACUGACGCUGAGGCUCGAAAGCGUGGGGAGCAAACAGGAUUAGAUACCCUGGUAGUCCACGCCGUAAACGAUGAGUGCUAAGUGUUGGAGGGUUUCCGCCCUUCAGUGCUGCAGCUAACGCAUUAAGCACUCCGCCUGGGGAGUACGACCGCAAGGUUGAAACUCAAAGGAAUUGACGGGG
rnacentral:rRNA from 1 species